rnacentral:lncRNA from 1 species
AUUGGAUUUUGAAAAUUUUGGCUUGUUUUAGAAACAAGGAUUGGUGCUAAAGCUUGAGAUUCCUGAUUCCAAACUGAACAUGACAUCAUUUUCCUUGUAGGAAACUUCCAGGGUUGAACUCUGGCAUCAACAGAUGAGGCAUCAAGGUGGAAUGAACCAGAGAAGACGAUUCUGCUCAGCAGCCAGUUAUCCAGAGAAGGUCAGAUGGAC